CGGGACUUCCGGUCGGCGCCGCCUGCGAAGUGCUCCGCGGCCGGCGGAGACGCGGGCAGCCAGCGAUGGCCGCGGAGGGGGCGAACUGGGUUCCGGCCCUCGGAGGCUGACGGAAGGCGGUGGCUGAGGAGCGGCGCCUCUGGUUGAGCGCUCGCCGUGUGUCCCGCACCUGUCUGUCCUGCCGCCGCCCGGUAAGGUAGGAAAGCACAGCACAGCACCGCACAUCUCCAGUCGGACUGGCUACAUUUCAAGGGCUCAACCAUCACGCGUUACCAGUGGCUACUGCAUCAGACUGUGCAGUGCUAGAUGGGGAGUCAGAAGAGAAACCAAGUGAUUUCCAUGUCAAGUGGUGAACAGGCUAAGAAGAAAAGUCCACUUACAGCUGGAUUUACUUCCACCUCUGCCACCUGUGAGACAGCGAGACCAACCCCUCCUCCUCCUCUUCCUAGCCUACUCCGAGUGAAGAUGAUGAAGAUGAAGACCGUUAUGAUCCACUUCCACUUAAUGAAAGAUGAAUAUAUUUUCUCUUCCUAAUGAUUUUUUUUUUUUUUUUUUUGGAGACAGAGUCUCGCUGCAUCCCCCAGGCUGGAGUACAGUGGUAUGAUCUUGGCUCACUGCAACCUCUGCCUCCUAGGUUCAAGUGAUUCUCCUGCCUCAGUCUCCCGAGUAGCUGGGAUUACAGGCGCCCACCACCAUGCCCGGCUAAUUUUUGUAUUUUUAGUAGAGAUGGGGUUUCACUAUGUUGGCCAGGCUGGUCUCAAACUCCUGACCUCAGGUGAUCUGCCUGACUUGGCCUCCCAAAGUGCUGGGAUUACAGGCAUGAGCCACCUUGCCUGGCCUCUUCCUAAUGAUUUUUUAAAGUACAUCUUGUUUUCUCUGUCUUACUUUAUCAUAAAAAUAUAUGAUACAAAUAAAAUACAGAAUAUGUGUUAAUGGACUGUGUAUGUUAUGAGUAAGCCUUCCAGUCGACAGUGGGCUAUUAUUGGUGGUUAAGUUUUGGGGGAGUGUGUGUUCAAGGGUCAACCGCACUUCCUGAGGGCACUGUGAGAACUAAGUUAAAUAACCCACUUUUACAAUCUUUGGAACCGGGGGCAGGUGGCUGGGGCUCACACCUGUAAUUACAGCACUUUGGGAGGCUGAGGCAGGAAGAUCCCUUGAGGCCAAGAGUUUGAGACCAGCCUGGGCAACAAAGCAAGACUCUGUCUCUACAAAAAUUUU
rnacentral:lncRNA from 10 species